GUGCUGGCUUCUGCAGCACAUAUACUAAUAUUGGAAAGAUACAGAGAAGAUUAGCAUGACCCCUGCACAAGGAGGACAUGCAAAUUCAUGAAGCAUUCCUUUUUUUU